AGGUUAUCUAUGAUUUGCUUGAGAAAUCAUCAGGUCAUUUGGAACUCCGAGAGGAUCCACAGCAGGGAAUAAUUGUUGUUGGGCUGAAGUGUAUCAAGGUUCAUUCAGCUGAUAAGAUUCUUGAAUUAUUGAACUUAGGAAAUAGUAGACGGAAAACAGAGAGUACAGAGGCUAAUGCAACGUCAUCUCGAUCACAUGCUGUUUUAGAGAUAAUUGUGAAAAGAAAGCAGAGAAACAAGUAUAGAAAUCAAGUCAUGCGAGGCAAGCUUGCACUUGUGGAUCUUGCUGGCAGUGAAAGAGCUUCUGAGGCAAAUAGUGGUGGACAAAGGCUAAGGGAUGGAGCCAAUAUUUACUGUUCUCUUCUUGCUUAGCAAAUUGCAUUAAUGCCUUAGGGAAACAGCAAAAGAAGGGUCUUGCUUAUGUCCCUUACCGCAAUAGCAAGCUAACACGCAUACUUAAAGAUGGUCUGAGUGGUAAUUCUCAGACUGUCAUGAUUGCUACGAUAUCCCCUGCGAACUGUCAGUGUCAUCAUACCAUAAAUACCUUGAAGUAUGCUGACCAAGAAAAGGAAAUAAAGACACAUAUUCAGAAAAAUAUUGGCAUGAUUGAUACCCUUGUGUCAAAUUACCAGAGGAUGAUUGACAGUCUUCACGCUAUUGAGAAGGAAGGAGCAGUUGUAGAGUCUUUGAAAGCAAGGCGACAAGUCAUCCUUGAUAACAUUCGUGACAAUGAUGAGGCUGGCGUCGAUUACAAAAAGGAAAUUGAAGAAAAUGAGAAGCAUAGAUGCCAACUCCAAGAAAUGAUUGAGAAAGCCAUUAUUAAGGAUGGAAGUAAAACCUACUUGCGGAUUCUUAGUCAAUACAGGCUUCUGGGAAUGGCUAAUACUGAGCUUCAGUUUGAAAUGGCAAAGAGGGAUCAAAUCAUCCACAACCAAUGAGAAGCGCAAAGAAACCUAUGGAACUUGCUCAUGGGGUUAGGACUUGAAGAGAAACGUUUGUUGGAAUUUGUGGCUAAACAUGGAAUAAUAAUUGAAGAUUGUAGGAUGAUGCCCCAUUUGGGAAUUUCAGAUAAGAAGCAAUCCUCAGUUUGUGCUUGUGGCAGAUAUGCGCCCAUGGGAUGUAGUCAGUCCACUGGCCAUUCGUUUUCUAGAUCAUGCAUCUUUCAACACUAUCAAGACUUUGGGUCAAGGUCAUUUUCCAGGAGGCCUUGGAUCCAGGUAGUACUUUUUGCAGGGAAGAGCACCAUAGUUCCUAUUACAUGCUGUCUCAUUAUCAAUGCCCUCCAGCAUAUUUGAGGUUGAGGAAGAGUAGUGACCAUUGGGUUGGUGGCAUUCCAGAGUCCUGUUUUGUCAUGCCUAUUAAUCCUCAAAAUUUGCGCACUUCAUGCCCAGAGUUUAGAACUUGGGCUUCCCCUUGUAGUGAAGGCUUCCCUUCAGCUUCAUAUCUCAGUGCCGAUUUUAGCCAUCAGCAUAAGGAAAAAUGGAACAUCUCUUCAAGGCAACGUCUAAAUGAGAGUCCUAAUGCUGGAAUGAGUGCUAGCCAAACAAUGAUGGGUCAUGGUGGAACAAACCGAGGUUUCUUGGCACAGUUCUUAGGCUUGCGCAGCUCAAACCAUAUUUUUCACCACACUGAACCAUUUAGUGGCCCAAAUAUAUCACACGUUCCUUCAUUUGCUACUGCAGGGCACAAUAUCUUUUGUAACCCCUAGUUCUAACACCAAAAUUCACCCCUGUAAUUUUGGGUAGAAGUCUUGUAAUUUUUGUAUCCUGUGAUAUUUUUUUUUUCCCACCAGUUGUACAUAUCAGCAGUAGCAUAGGAGAGUUGUCAAUGUAAAGCAGGUGCGAGGUGCUUCUUUUGUUCCCCAUUUCAGUAUCAGGGAGGAGAUGGAGAGCAAGGACUGAGAGGCAUAGCCAGUAAUUAGUUGGAUAAUACUCUUGGCUAGCAUGAAAAUAGAUGUUCUUCCUAUUACGUGUCUUGUUUAGCUGCUACACCAGUGACUUAGUAAAUAGUAAUCCUUCUAUGGUUUUGGCGUUGCUUGCUUAUCAUAUUGUAAUAUUAGUUGGAUUAUAAUUUGGUUUGGAUUGUGCUGGUUGUAUCU